AAGGCAAAAAUCAAGGUCGGUAAUACAAAGCAAGGUCAAAACGAGAAAGUAACACAGGCAAUGGAAAAACGCGUUCAACGAGGAUAAACUGCCAAUACUUAGCAAGAACUAAGAGUGUAUGAGCCACUUAUAUAGGGCUAAACCAUGUGGCUAGUACUCAGGUGACCUGCAUCCUGGAAAUGUCAUGUGCUGUGUUAUGUGAUCGCAUUGUGUGUGAUGUCAGUGUGUGGUGCAUCCUGGGCAAUGUAGUCAGGAGGCUGCAGAUUGCAGGCAGAGCUGAGUGUGGGAGAGAUGGGAGCGCUUUCAGCUGCAGACGUGAUACUUUGUCCUUGAUGCGCAACAUAAUCCAGAGGUUUACAACCCAUGGCAUUGUAGCUAACCUCCCUGUACAUGGACAUAAGAGAAAAAAUUAUGAAAGAUUGGAAAAUUUAAUAUUUAAUUUUUUUCAGUGGUGCCAACACUUUCGGCCUUGACUGUAUAACUCUAAAGAAACAACAUUUUAGUGUUUUAAUGUAACAAAAAAAGAAUAACAGAUUUCUCCAAAAACUAUAAAUGGUGAAUAAAUGGUAUUCAUUGGAAGGUUUUAAUUAAAAUAAAAAAAUCCACAAUUUAGACAGCCUGUUUACAGUCUAUGCUGCACACACUACAACAGCUCCACAUAACAUGCUACAAUCCCUUCAUGUAGAUGAAAAAAGGAUCUUUUUAUGAGAACGCUACACAAUGAAGGCCUGCUCCCAACUGCCUGACAAUGUGGUAUUCAUCCCUGCUAGACUGUUCAGUGCUAUUGAAAGCAGCUUUAGGUCAGCAGUUAUUGUGCCACACUCUGCUCCCCGGCAGUUUGCAUAGAGUGGUGCCCACUCCUCAGCUACACGUAGCUGUCUGCCCAUUGGGUCAAGGAAGGCCAAGGAGAGAAACUUUCUGGAGUGCUUGCGGUUUCAGGAGGGAAGGAGAGAGCUGGAAGUGACUUUUGACUCUUCUGUGAAAGUUCUUUAAAGCCCUGAGCUGAAGAUGUCUUUAAAGAGGAGACUACUGUCCAUGUUCUUGUGUUGUAUGUACUGUGUGGCCUCCCUUUUUUGCCUCCAUCCAGACAGGAACAACUGUGUUUCUCACGGGGCUCGGAACCUGGUGACAGUUGUUCAGCAGCUGUACCAGCGAGCAGUGAGGCUGCUUCGCACAACGCUGUGAGAUAUUGGCCACACUGCCUUCUUUCUUCAGACCAGAGAGGAGGCACAACUACGAGAAUCCUCUACAGCCUUCUCCACAGGGGAGAUCUCCAUAUCUCUAAUCUUGCUUUAUGAACCUUAGAACACAGGAACUAUCUGAGACUUUUUUUGAUAACAUGAGAAAUUUUUUUCUAUGCCUUAUUUUGUACUAAUAAUAAAUUGGUCAUUUUUAAAGCCAUGUAAAGGUUUGUAAUUGAAGAUGAUGCCACUGUUCUUCAUCUCUCUGCAGGAUGGACAUCAAUGAUGUUGAUGUGCAAGGCUAUCUUUUUGGGAAUGGUAGUCUAGUUAAGGAUUUCUUAUGAUUCCAGUGAUGUUCCAGAAUAUUGAUUGUGUUGAGUUGGUUAACUGCUGACAGUCUGCCAAUGGAAGUAAAGAAUCUUUCCUCUCCAGCGUAGCUGCAGGAAAGAAGAAGAAAGACACAGUGUUGCUAAUACAGUUUUUGGUGUAAAGAACUGUGAAUGGAUGCCAACACAGGCCAUCAAGGGACUCUGAUUAUUGCAUUCAAUCUACUGCUGAAGAAUAUAAUUCUGUCUAAUUAUUUAUUCCCAGCUAAACAAUCAUGAUUGUACUAUUUCAGUGCUGAAUUACCAGAUUAACACUUGCUGGAUGAUGUGGUAUAUCCUUUACUUUUGACUGGAUUGUUAAACUGUGAAAUAAAUAAAUGGAAUAAAGGAAA